CCGGAUUUAUUGGGCGUAAAGCGAGCGCAGGCGGUUAGAUAAGUCUGAAGUUAAAGGCUGUGGCUUAACCAUAGUACGCUUUGGAAACUGUUUAACUUGAGUGCAAGAGGGGAGAGUGGAAUUCCAUGUGUAGCGGUGAAAUGCGUAGAUAUAUGGAGGAACACCGGUGGCGAAAGCGGCUCUCUGGCUUGUAACUGACGCUGAGGCUCGAAAGCGUGGGGAGCAAACAGGAUUAGAUACCCUAGUAGUCCACGCCGUAAACGAUGAGUGCUAGGUGUUAGACCCUUUCCGGGGUUUAGUGCCGUAGCUAACGCAUUAAGCACUCCGCCUGGGGAGUACGACCGCAAGGUUGAAACUCAAAGGAAUUGACGGGGGCCCGCACAAGCGGUGGAGCAUGUGGUUUAAUUCGAAGCAACGCGAAGAACCUUACCAGGUCUUGACAUCCCUCUGACCGCUCUAGAGAUAGAGCUUUCCUUCGGGACAGAGGUGACAGGUGGUGCAUGGUUGUCGUCAGCUCGUGUCGUG
rnacentral:rRNA from 1 species